rnacentral:rRNA from 1 species
UACGGGAGGCAGCAGUGGGGAAUAUUGCACAAUGGGCGCAAGCCUGAUGCAGCCAUGCCGCGUGUAUGAAGAAGGCCUUCGGGUUGUAAAGUACUUUUCAGCGGGGAGGAAGGCGGUGGAGUUAAUAGCUUCACCGAUUGACGUUACCCGCAGAAGAAGCACCGGCUAACUCCGUGCCAGCAGCCGCGGUAAUACGGAGGGUGCAAGCGUUAAUCGGAAUUACUGGGCGUAAAGCGCACGCAGGCGGUCUGUCAAGUCGGAUGUGAAAUCCCCGGGCUUAACCUGGGAACUGCAUUCGAAACUGGCAGGCUAGAGUCUUGUAGAGGGGGUAGAAUUCCAGGUGUAGCGGUGAAAUGCGUAGAGAUCUGGAGGAAUACCGGUGGCGAAGGCGGCCCCUGGGACAAAGACUGACGCUCAGGUGCGAAAGCGUGGGGAGCGAAACAGGGAUUAGGAUACC